AUGGAAGUGGCACAAGAGGGGUGGGCUAGCGAGAGCCGUAUCAACAGUGAGAGUGGUUUCUCCUUCAAGAAUUGUACCAUUAAGGGUGAGGGGAAACCAGUAUUCUUAGGAAGGGCAUCAGAAAACUUCUCGCAGGUUGUGUACUCCUCCACCGAGAUGGACAGCGAAAUUGUUCCCAUCAUAUGGGAAAAGGGGAAUAUGAAAAUUCCUAAGAGUGGGAUCUACUAUGGUGAGUUCAAAUGCUAUGGGCCUGGGUUAGAUGCAUCGAAGAAGGCUGGAUGGGCCCUAUCCCUAACUGAGGCUCAGGCCAAGCCCUUUACCUGCAAAAGCUUCAUCUCAGGUGGCUCAUGGAUUACCCCCCUUCCCCCGGCUGAUCCAUAG
rnacentral:rRNA from 1 species